CGUCAUAACGACCAAUCAAGCCUCGGCUUGGUCUUGGGGUCUGCGGCCAUCCCGCACCCCCUAAACCCAUUGGCAGCGCGAUCGAGCUCUGAGCGUAGUAAUUCUUCUCGCUAUAGAGCCUCGGUCCGCCAAUGACCAGCAACCCCCUAAAUUAUCAUUUGGUUGACCUCGGAUCAGGUAGGGAUACCCGCUGAACUUAA
rnacentral:misc_RNA from 1 species